GCUGUGUAGCGUUGUGUGAAAGAAGUGAAAACGAUGACGUUAGCUGUGGUAUGCAAACGCGCGCACCAGGUUUUCGGGGUGGUUCACCGGAUCGAUUACCGGUUGACCAACCGUAACACACUCCGGUAGGAAUGCUGCCACAAAACCCAGCAGCAGCAAGUGUUCUUUGCCACAACUGCGCCGCCUCGGGAUACUGAUGAUGACGUGGUUCCUUCAUAGCCAGCUGCUUUUAAUUGUUGUCGAUCUUGUGGAGUCUUCCAAGAGUGAACACGGACACUUCAGCGCGAGGAGCAAUGUUUCACCAAAUAUCCCUCCUAGUACACAUACACACAGACACCCGAGCCCUGGAUCUUCAAACGAUCAACGAUAGCACACAAACACACGAAAGGACGAACGUGUUCAAGUGGCAUAGGACAACGACUAUGGAAAUGAGCCCAUGCGACCACAACAUGUUGCUCAAGAAGCAAACCUCGGUCUUUGCAUAGCUCGAGCCACGGCAAGCUUUCCGAUAGGCAAAUGAGACGACCUCUACUGGAUUAACAGGAUCAAAGUGGCGGAUGCGCGACACAAGACAACGGGGGGACAACACUCCUGAUUAUCGAAGCGCUCGUGGUGCGCCACUUGAACAGCACAACAAAGUAAGCGCGAGCCUUACGAUAACGAGCAAAUUCCAACCAGCCCCAGCAUUAAUGUGGGAAGGAAAUUGGGUAGGAAUGAUAACGAAAAUCGCAUUCACAACACCUCCCCGGGGGCGGCAGUCGGUUUGCGCCGGUAAAGACGGAAGACAUAGCGCGUUGAAUCAGUGCAGCGAUAGGGCCAAAACGGGGACACUCACUUCGCUGCGUUACGGGCUGGCGUGACUAGCGACAGUUUCCGCGGGGACAGUAACAGUGAGGGAGAAUCUUUCCUACUUUCUUGAAGCCACCACGCGCUGCAAGAAGUGCAAUCUUUCACACUCGCAAACAGAGAUUGCUCAGUGUGCCAUAAAAUUCUUACGUUGGGCUGAAUUUCAUAUCCUACGACACACUGCAGCGCCAGGAUUAUACACCCGCGAGCUGUGGACAGAACCGUCAGCAGCACCUUCUCGCUACCCGUUGGUGUCGUUAGGAGAAAGUGUACUUAUGUCCAUCCUUCCUUUGUGUAUGCGCUGUGCUGCCAGAGCGUGUAAACUGGAAGACAAAAGGGCAGCCUCGGCAUCGGUUCAACAUUCAUCAUGCUCCAGUGUUUCUUCCAUUUGUAGUAUGCUUUUUGUCGUCUAAAAGUCGCGCACACCAGCACACACACACACACACACACACACACACACACUCAGCCAAGCCCGCGCUUGGACCAAAUGAGUUGGCGAAGUGGAAAAUCGUGCCACCGAGUGCCCAUAUUAUUCGCAACGCACGCAAUCGAACCAGCAGCGCCAGCAUGAAGAAAAAAAAAGAAGGUUGGCCAUUCCACACCGAAAAGACCUCCCCCGUGACCCGCUCGGAACUGUGUGUUGGGCAAUCAGCAUGCCUUUUUGGAUUGCGUAUCGUCAAACUUCACCGUUUGCCCGGGACGUGCCUGGGAGACACAUGGGAGAGGGAUAGGACGCAAUCCCCACGCACAGCAAGCACCUCAGCGAGACCUCCAGAGGGAAGAAUAGAGGGAACACCAUUCAAAUUUCACGGCACAAGACCCGGUGCACGGUCCAGUGAGCACCAAAUCCCUUUCACUUCAUGUCCCGAGCACCGUGUCGCCACCUGGACCACCGAUGCGAGCGGAGCGCACAGACACACACAAAAAGGACCUCCUCCAAACGCGACAAAUUAAAGGACACCCUGUGAAGUGUCUACCACCGACUUCCUUUUGGGGGGGAUGGAGUCACACAAGAACAAACGCACACACACACUCGCACACGCCUGAAAUGGGUAAGAAAAAACUCGACCCCUUCGCGCACUACUGCUGGUACCGUGCGCUUCCGUUAGCACACCAGCCGCCACCACCACAUUGCUAAUUCUGGCUCGUUUUGCACUUUCGUCUCACUCCCGUUCCCUCCCUCCCUUGUAGCAUACGUUCAGGUUUGAAAAAGCAAACGAGAAUUGGCGUGACACAUGCACGGCACACGGCGGUGAAGGAGGAGGAGAAAGGACGGAGAAAAAUCCAGGGAAAAAAGGGGUCAGCGGAGGACCUCACCGGAGCAGGGCCUAGUCCGGCUGCUAGGAUUUUUCUUCCGUCUCUGUGAUCCUGCUGUUGUGUUUCCCUUCCCCUUUCCGUUUUCCUGCACCGUUUCCCGAACAAUCCUAAUCCACAAACACACACACACACACACACACACACACACACACACACACACACACACACACACACAGGCACACACACGCACACACAAACACCAUCCCCAGGCACGCACAGCGGCAACGUCUACCAACCCGCAUGAAAUCUCUCCGGCUACUGAGUGAGUAGCCGAGACCCGAGCGCGCGGCCGGUACGCGAAUUCCGGAUGCCCGCAGGAGCGCACUCGGGUACGAUGAUGCUGCUGCUGCUGCUGCUGACGAUGAUGAUGAUGACGACGACGACGACGAUAUGGUACCGUCCCGUUCGCACAGGCUUUCGGUUUCACAUGGGCCCAUCGGUUGACGUAAUAACACGGCAGAGUGGACCCCCUCCGAAGUGGAAAAGCUCCCGCCGUGUGCACGCAGCGCGCAACAGUACCGGAGCACCGGGAUGUAAGCGGCAGGGGAAGUACGGUGAGUACGAUAGGGGAAGGCGCGAGUCCUUUUUUCCUGCCACUGCUGCUGCUGCUGCACUGUGGAAAUCGAUCGGAUCUGGUGACGUAGGUUAGAGCGAGACGACCGGUUGUUUGCCGCAUGGGGAAAGUGUUGCUCUCCGCUCGGGAAAACAUCA